rnacentral:rRNA from 1 species
GACGAGCGCUGGCGGCGUGCUUAACACAUGCAAGUCGAACGGAAAGGCCCUGGUUUUGUGGGGUGCUCGAGUGGCGAACGGGUGAGUAACACGUGAGUAACCUGCCCUUGACUUUGGGAUAACUUCAGGAAACUGGGGCUAAUACCGGAUAGGAGCUCCUGCUGCAUGGUGGGGGUUGGAAAGUUUCGGCGGUUGGGGAUGGACUCGCGGCUUAUCAGCUUGUUGGUGGGGUAGUGGCUUACCAAGGCUUUGACGGGUAGCCGGCCUGAGAGGGUGACCGGCCACAUUGGGACUGAGAUACGGCCCAGACUCCUACGGGAGGCAGCAGUGGGGAAUAUUGCACAAUGGGCGGAAGCCUGAUGCAGCAACGCCGCGUGCGGGAUGACGGCCUUCGGGUUGUAAACCGCUUUCGCCUGUGACGAAGCGUGAGUGACGGUAAUGGGUAAAGAAGCACCGGCUAACUACGUG